rnacentral:rRNA from 1 species
GACGAACGCUGGCGGCGUGCUUAACACAUGCAAGUCGAACGGAAAGGCCUCUUUCGGGGGGUACUCGAGUGGCGAACGGGUGAGUAACACGUGAGUAACCUGCCCUUGACUUUGGGAUAACUUCAGGUAACUGGGGCUAAUACCGGAUAGGAGCUCCUGCUGCAUGGUGGGGGUUGGAAAGUUUCGGCGGUUGGGGAUGGACUCGCGGCUUAUCAGCUUGUUGGUGGGGUAGUGGCUUACCAAGGCUUUGACGGGUAGCCGGCCUGAGAGGGUGACCGGCCAGAUUGGGACUGGGGUACGGCCCAGACUCCUACGGGAGGCAGAAGUGGGGAAUAUUGCACAAUGAGUGGAAGCCUGAUGCAGCAACGCCGUGUGCGGGAUGACGGCCUUCGGGUUGUAAACCGCUUUCGCUCAUGACGAAGCUUUGUGUGACGGUAGUGGGUAAAGAAGCACCGGCUAACUACGUG